rnacentral:rRNA from 1 species
CACGUAGGGGGCGAGCGUUGUCCGGAUUUAUUGGGCGUAAAGAGCUCGUAGGCGGUUCGGUAAGUCGGGUGUGAAACCUCCAGGCUCAACCUGGAGUCGCCACUCGAUACUGCUGUGACUAGAGUCCGGUAGGGGAGCGUGGAAUUCCUGGUGUAGCGGUGAAAUGCGCAGAUAUCGGGAGGAACACCAGUGGCGAAGGCGGCUUUCUGGCCUGUUCUUGACGCUGAGGCGCGAAAGCUAGGGUAGCAAACGGG